CACAAAAAAUAGUUGUUUUACCCACUCAGCAUUCCUAGCAUACUCCAUUCUAUUUAAGUACCCUAAAGUCUAAAUCAAGGUAGGAUAUGCUUUUCUUCUUAUGCUUAACAAG